AGCAUUGUUGGAAUGACAUAGUACAUCAAACUUUUGUGGACGUUGUGGAGAGAAAACAGUCCCUAAGGAAGCUGGGAGACGAAAGCAAUGUUCAAGUGAUUUGUGCAAACAGAGAAUCUACCCUCGUGUUGAUCCUAAAUUGAAGGAGUAUCUAUUUGAAAUUUGGUCACUAGAGUAUUUAUAAUUUUGUGGCAUCAAGAUGCCGAUCGAUAAGAGUUGGACGACAUUAAGGAAUCGUAAUUGUGAUGCUUAUUGGAACAGUCUCCAAGCCUUCUUGAGAAUGGAAAAAGAACACGUAGACUGCGACGGGAGAAUUUUAUGCCCGUGUGUGAGGUGCCUGAAUGUUAAACUACAAACUAUAGAUACAGUGGAGGCUCAUGUCUUUGACAAGGGUUUUCAACAAAGCUAUCAAAAGUGGGUUUACCACGGUGAGGUGGAAGCUAGUGUCGCCAAUGAGGUAGUUGAGGAGAAUGAAGAUGUAGACGAGAUGGUUGACGUCGUUGAUGAUUUCCUCUUACCG